GACGAACGCUGGCGGCGUGCCUAAUACAUGCAAGUCGAACGCAGUUGGGACGGGUGAGUAACCCGUGGGUAACCUCCCAUCAGAGGGGAUAACACUUGGACACAGGUGCUAAACCGAUACUGAUGGAUGGACCCGCGGUGCAUUAGCUAGUUGGUGAGGUAACGGCUCACCAAGGCCACGAUGCAUAGCCGACCUGAGAGGGUGAUCAGCCACACUGGGACUGAGACACGGCCCAGACUCCUACGUGAGGCAGCAGUAGGGAAUAUUCGGCAAUGGACGAAAGUCUGACCGAGCAACGCCGCGGGAGUGAAGAAGGUUUUCGGAUCGUAAAACUCUGUUGUUAGAGAAGCGGUAUCUAAACAGAAAGCCACGGCUAACUACGUGCCAGCAGCCGCGGUAAUUC
rnacentral:rRNA from 1 species